rnacentral:lncRNA from 1 species
CCCACAAAUCUGACAAAAAAUCAUACUUACCAAAAAAGAAACAGAGUGUCAAAAACUGCAAAAUCACACCUUAUCAGUCCACACUUCUCACUGAUUUCUGCCUUAUAAAACCUCCAAACCCACUCCUUCUUCCUCAACGAAAUACUCUGUCCCAAAUACUUCAAUUUCUCCUCUCCCAGAAAUCAUGAACAAAUCCGCCAUUUCUGCAGCACAGAAGUCACAGAACAAACUCCCACAAAUCCCCACAACUCUAGCAAUCUGAGUCAAUCAUCUCUUCAUAGCAAUGGGUUUCAGCUUCCCUAACACUGAUCUCUUCCACAUUACUCUUCCAACCAACCCAUGAAUCUUUCACCUUGCACACACAAUCUGUCAUCAUCCUCG